AGUGAACGCUGGCGGUAGGCCUAACACAUGCAAGUCGAACGGCAGCACAGAGGAGCUUGCUCCUUGGGUGGCGAGUGGCGGACGGGUGAGGAAUACAUCGGAAUCUACCUUUUCGUGGGGGAUAACGUAGGGAAACUUACGCUAAUACCGCAUACGACCUUCGGGUGAAAGCCGGGGACCUUCGGGCCUGGCGCGGAUAGAUGAGCCGAUGUCGGAUUAGCUAGUUGGCGGGGUAAAAGCCCACCAAGGCGACGAUCCGUAGCUGGUCUGAGAGGAUAAUCAGCCACACUGGAACUGAGACACGGUCCAGACUCCUACGGGAGGCAGCAGUGGGGAAUAUUGGACAAUGGGCGCAAGCCUGAUCCAGCCAUACCGCGUGGGUGAAGAAGGCCUUCGGGUUGUAAAGCCCUUUUGUUGGGAAAGAAAUCCUGUCGGUUAAUACCCGGUAGGGAUGACGGUACCCAAAGAAUAAGCACCGGCUAACUUCGUGCCAGCAGCCGCCGUAAAAC
rnacentral:rRNA from 1 species